AUCCGGCUGAUGAGACUCAAGUAAGUCGAAACUCAUGUCCUGGAU
rnacentral:hammerhead_ribozyme from 1 species